CCCGGAUUCCUGGGCCGGACCCAGGUUCGCGGAGGGAGGGGAGACUGUUCUGAGCAGGUGUCACCACCAAGAACUGUCAAGAUCCUGGGGAAGGCGGCAGCUCUCGACCCCCAGGCGCGGCCGCGCCCUCAGAGGAAAACUCUGGAAACAACCAAAUGUCCAUCGGCAGGAAAAUGGAGAAACAAACUGUAAUGUGCUGAUAUCAUGGAAUAGUAUGCAGCAGUGAAAAAGGACAAAUGAUUGAUACACACAACAUGGAUGAAUCUAAACGGGAUGAAUGGGCACUAACCAAGUCAAGCACAAAGAGUACAUGCCACUGUUCCCAGUUACAAGGAAAGAAAGUUCUACUGGAUAGUUAAAAAAAAAAAA